CGCAAUGUAUGCUAAGCUACAGAAAACAUUUCCCAGCCUCCCUACUACGUAGUGUGUGUGCUAGUUUUGAACAUGUUGCAACUUCUUGACACCCCUCCCAUAAAAAGGGGAAGUCUAAUUCCCAUGAAUAUGGGCCAGCCGUAGCGACUCUACUUCUACUAAAUAGAAUGUGGCAGAAGGAAUAUUGCAUGGCUUCCAAAGCCAGGUCAUAAAAGGUGACACAUCUCUGCCUGCUCUUUCUUUUGAGACACAUGCCUUAGGAGCUCUGAGCUGACAUGAAAGAAAUUGCAUUAGCCUGAAGCUGCCAUGCUAAAAAGACUAGGUAAAGAGGCCACAUAGAGACAGACAAGCCCCAAGUGUACCAUCCCCCACCUGUUUGUUUUCUCAACUGCAACCUUAAGACAUGUGAGUGAGUCUUCAGAUUAUUCCAGCCACUAGCUUUAUGCCACGUUUCAUGCGAAAUACACUCACUCCCUUCCGCUGAAGGCAUCAGGUUCAGGCUUGAGGCCCAGGAUCUUGUGAUAAAAAUCAAGUUCUCGUGUGAGUGAGGCUCCAUGAGUGUGGUUCCUGACGUACUGCUCAUCAGUUAACACUCCUCUUGACUGGAAGAUCUGUGUACUAAAGGGACGAGUUUUCUGUCUUCCCUAUACAAUAGUGGGCCUGGCACGAGAUGACUGUUCUGGACACUCUAAUUCAAAAAAGGGGAAACCAGGAGGCAUGUAACAGUCACUUGUCUAUGGUAUUUAUGGAAAAAGAAGGAUGACUCGGGCUGUCUCCAAGAAGCCACGGAGAAUGAUUCCCUGUUGGUGGAACUGAGUCCCCCUCAUGGGAUUGGUAACACAGGAUCAGCUGGAUUGCAGAAAUGCAUGAAGCAGAAAUGUAAAUAAUUUGGGCCAGAGGACCAAUUGUGGUGGCUUUAAACAUUUCCGCAAAUUCUUUGAUAAUCCUCCCAUGAAAAGGUGGAGUCUAAUUCUCCUCUCCCUCUAACAAAUAGGAUGUGUCAGAGGGGAUGCUUUGUGACUCCAAAACUAAGUCAUAAAAGGGGAUGCUACAGCUUUUGCUUGACUCUCUCUCCGGACGUGUUUUUGGAGCUCUGUAGCCACCAUACUGGAGGGACUUGUGGAGAAGCUAUAUCAAAAAAGAUGCCAAAGGAAGCCAAGCUGUGCCAACCCCAGCUAUGGAGGCAGGAGAUCAAAGGCAGUAGUAGGAGACGUGGUGAUGGAAGCCAGGGGUUGGAGUGAUGCGAAGAAGGGUCCUCAAGCCAAGGAAUGCCAGCAACCUCAGGAAGCUGGGAGAGGCAUGGAAUGGAUUCUCCCUUGGAGCCCUCAGAAGGAACCGGCCCUGCUGACACCUUGAUUUUAGUCUCACCUUGAUGUGAGACUCAUUUCACAGUUCUGAC
rnacentral:lncRNA from 1 species